rnacentral:tRNA from 1 species
AGGGCUAUAGUUCAGUGGUAGAGUGUGUGCUUAGCAUGCACGAGGUCCUGGAUUCCAUCCCCAGUACCUCCA